CGGACGGGUGAGUAAUGUCUGGAAAACUGCCCGAUGGAGGGGGAUAACUACUGGAAACGGUAGCUAAUACCGCAUAACGUCGCAAGACCAAAGAGGGGGACCUUCGGGCCUCUUGCCAUCGGAUGUGCCCAGAUGGGAUUAGCUAGUAGGUGGGGUAACGGCUCACCUAGGCGACGAUCCCUAGCUGGUCUGAGAGGAUGACCAGCCACACUGGAACUGAGACACGGUCCAG
rnacentral:rRNA from 1 species